rnacentral:rRNA from 1 species
AGAGUUUGAUCCUGGCUCAGGAUGAACGCUGGCGGCGUGCCUAAUACAUGCAAGUCGAACGGGGGCAGUAGCGAUACUGUCCUAGUGGCGAACGGGUGAGUAACGCGUUGGUGACCUGCCCCAGAGAGGGGGAUAACAGACCGAAAGGUCUGCUAAUACCGCAUAGAUUCUCAGCAGUUAGAGGGGCUGAGAAGAAAGCCGAAAGGCGCUCUGGGAGGGGCCUGCGUCCCAUCAGCUAGUUGGUAGGGUAACGGCCUACCAAGGCGAAGACGGGUAGGGGACCUGAGAGGGUGGCCCCCCACAAUGGAACUGAAACACGGUCCAUACACCUACGGGUGGCAGCAGUAGGGGAUAUUGGUAAAUGGGCGAAAGCCUGACCCAGCAACGCCGCGUGCGCGAAGAAGGCCUUCGGGUUGUAAAGCGCUUUUCUGAGGGAUGAGGAAGGACAGUACCUGAGGAAUAAGUCUCGGCUAACUACGUGCCAGCAGCCGCGGUAAGACGUAGGAGACGAGCGUUAUCCGGAUUUACUGGGCGUAAAGCGCGUGCAGGCGGCUCGUUAAGUUGGAUGUGAAAGCCCCUGGCUAAACUAGGGGAGGUCGUUCAAGACUGGCGGGCUAGAGUGCAGCAGAGGAGAGUGGAAUUCCGAGUGUAGCGGUAAAAUGCACAGAUAUUCGGAAGAACACCAGAGGCGAAGGCGGCUCUCUGGGCUGCAACUGACGCUCAGACGCGAAAGCUAGGGGAGCGAACGGGAUUAGAGACCCCGGUAGUCCUAGCCGUAAACGAUGUGGACUUGGCGUGGGGAGGGUAAAGCCUGUCCGUGCCGAAGCAAACGCGAUAAGUCCACCGCCUGGGGACUACG